rnacentral:lncRNA from 1 species
CUGAGACGGAGCAAGGAUCCAGUCACUAGAGUGUUUCCAUCAGGACUCCUCAGGCCCUUCCAUGCUGUGACACCAAAGAUAGUUCCUGACAGCAUCCAAGCUCAUCAUCCUCCACAGAUACCAAGAGAGAGAUUAGUUUUCUAAACCCAUCGCAAAGUGAAGGGAUAGCUGAUUGUCAUCCCAUUUUUGAGACCUCAGUCAUCCUUCUGCGUUCAUCACCACAACUGAGAGGAAGGAAAGAGCACUGGAUGUGGAGUGAGGAGACAUGGAUUCUGUCACUACCCUGCUCUGCAGAACCCAACAGUAUGUCAUUGAAACAAAACAAUACAAAACCCUGUCUGCAAAAGAAGACUCAUAAGUCAACAAUAACUCGGGUUUCAUAAAGGAAGAAAGUCUUAGAGGAGGAAAAUCAACCCAUUCAAAUACAGGAGCAUCUGCUUAACGCAAGACGGAACGAACCCCGCUGCCAGACCGGUGGUGUGGGCAGGCGAAUGUGUGCGUGUGCAUAGGAACAAGCCUAUAUAUGGAUGAGACAUUAGUGGCAACGAGAGGAGAGCCACCACGAUUGACAAAGCCACAACUAUUACGAUUUGAAAUAUCCCCCGCAGGCACUGACAUUUGGUGCCAGAAUCUCCCCGGAUUUAUUUUCAGGCAAGUGACUCACAACCUGGUCUCCAUAAGUAAUUCCAUUAAAAUGAGUCGCCG